CCCCAAAUUUUGGAAACUCUCUCAAAUCCCUAAAAAUUCGAAAUCGAAAUUUACCCAGAGAAGCGCCAUGACCUAAAAUCUCAAAAUCACCAAAAACUUCCCCAACAAAAAUGGCGCUUUUACUCUACCCAUUUCCUCUUACCUUCCUUCUACAUUACCCCUUUCCUCAAAUCUCUCUUUCCCAUUGAAAAAACCCAUGUCGGAGAAUCAGAACUGCGGGAGGAUGACGAGAGCGGCGGCGAAACGAAAAGCGUCGUCUAUGGCGGUGGACGAAAACCCAGUUAGUAAAAAGAGAGUUGUGCUCGGAGAGCUUCCGAAUAUGUCCAAUGUCGUAGCUGUUCCGGUGAAACCCAAUCAAGAAAGAGAGGCCCUUAAGGCUAAAACAAGUGUUAAUACCUCGAAGAAGCAGAUGAAGAAGGCUUUGAUGAUUCCUGUGGCGGUUCCUGAACCUAGCGUAGAUAUUGAAUCGAGAUCUGUUGAUCCUCAGAUGUGUGAGCCUUUUGCUAGUGAUAUUUGUUCUUAUCUUCGUGAAACAAAAUUGAGUCAGGAUAGCAAGCAAAAAAGAAUCAAAAUGUGAGACACCUCCAAAGAACUAUUUUUCCAAGAUCAGAAAUGUUAUUGAUUGAAGCCAACCAAAUGAUCAAAAUACCAAACAUGAUGGGAUCGAAUACUAACCUUGCCAGAGAUGAUGUCGUUGGAGAAAUUACAUAUAGAACUAAGUGUGUUCUCGAUCAAUGUCAUGUGAUCGAAUUCUUCUUCUUCAUCAUCUUUAAUCUUCGAUUUGAGAAACCACCGAUUCGAGAAACAAGUUGAAAGCUUUUUGUUUUCUAGAGCGGCUAGGGAUUCUGGGUCUCCAAGGUGACGUGGAAUAUUGAAGUGCUGAUUUUUACUGAUUUGUCAAGCUGAGAACAUCUGAAAAAUCUGAGGUGUCAAUCCUGGAGAGAAACAAGGUGUUAUUAUUGUAUUGAUGGGUGAUGGUUUUAGGGAAGGGAGUUAGAGUUUAGUGUUAUAAAUUUAAACAAAUUUACAUAUUAGUUUGGGUUUAUAAGGUAGGAGUUAGGGUUUAGUGUUAUAAAUUUUUUUAAAAUAGCAUAUCGGUUUGGAUUUAUAAGGUAGAUGUAAGGGUUUAGUGUUAUUCAUUUAAACGAAGUUACUUACACACCACGACGUGAUUGGUGUUGUUACAACAAACACUCGAUCAGAGUUUGGCAGAUAUAUAAUAAUAGGACAUACAGAAGAGAAUAAAUGGUCAAAAAAAAUGAACGAUGUAAAUUUAAAUUGGCGAUUAUUUUUCAUGUAUAAACUUGUGUCCAUACGUUUGAAUUGGAUUGGUAAGCUUUAAAUGGGCAUAUGAUAAGAUUGGUCAGUUCCAUAUGGAUACGUUAUGUCUACCAUAUGGGUGCGUUAUGUAUUAUUUCUUUUAACUAUUCUUUCGUUCAUAUCCAUUAUCUAAUAUGUUCACAAUAAUUAUGUUUUUUGACAUGUAAAAACUCAAAAGUUUCUAAUUUAUUUAAAAAGGUUGUUCUUGAUUCUUGGACAAACAAGAGAAGCAAUGUCUAUUAUAAAUUGGGUAAUUGUAUGUGUUUGGUGAAGACCAUAUGUAUUGUCGGCUAAUUGAAAAUCAUCAAGACUUGUUGCAGGCUUGGGACACCAUCACAACCAGCAACACCAUAAUGGAUUUAAGGUUCUCUAAACUCUUUCAGAUCAUCCAUUUGGAUUCGGCCAUAAACACUUGUCCAUUUUACCAUAAGCACUAGUUCAUCGUAGUACUUAUGAAAGUUAAUAACACCGAGUUAGUCAACAUACUUGCCAUCAUCCAUAUAUACAAUCUUUGAUGGAUACUUUACUUGUCAUGUUCUUCUCUUUCUUCAAGCUUUGUAUAGAAAUGCUUGAGUAUAUUAAUUUUAACCAUGUGUUCAGUGUUGGAUGGUCAGAUAAACUAAAAAACAUGUAUAAUAGUAAAAUAUGAACAACAAACACUUGAUCAGAGUUUGGCAGAUGUAUAAUCCACCGAGAAAUUUUAUUCUUAUUCAUCUAUGUGGUCAAAGUUUAGCGGAUAUGCUUGGAUGAUCGGUAGUUAGAAAUGUUGUUGUAGUAUGUUUGUUCAAGUAUAUCUAGACAUCCAUUUAAUAACAAACAAAUGUUCAAUAAAAAAUGGAUAAUAUGUAAUAUAAUUUUUCAUCUAAAAUAUAGCAAAAUAGAUUUUAAAAUGUAUGAAAACUUAAAUCUUAAUCUAUUGUAUAAAAAAAUAGACGAAAUAUAUGAUAUUAAGUAAUUAAAAUGAUAAUAAAGAUAGAAUGAGAUAAAGAAAAAGAGAGAGAAAGUCACAUGGAAGGAGAAAAAAAAAGAACAAAAAUUAUGCUAAAUAUAUAUAUUUGUAUGUCAACGUAGUAACAUGUAAUUUUCAGAAUUUCUGUGAAUUUUUAACCAUUAGAUCUCAAAUAUCUGUUAAGAUCUAACGGUCAACAUAACAAGACUAUUAGUUAGACUCAACUCAAUUCCUUAGCAAAAUCGAUGUAGUUCAGGGGUAUAAUAGUAUUAAAUUUUGUUCAACAGUAGAAAAACUUAUAAAAACACAGAAAGUAUGUCUUUUGCAAACAAAGCGGUAGAAAGUGUCCCAUAGUGUAACUCUCCCUUUAUUCUUUAAUUAAAAGAUUUCAAUGCUGAUUGUCUAAAUAUAGGAGUGAAACUUUUUGAAGGGUAAAAAAGAGAGCCGACAAAAAAAAAAAGGGUAAAAAAGAGAAAACAGCCGCCAAAUAAAUGUGGAAAUGAAAUCUGCAAAAAAGCCCCAAAUUUUGGAAACUCUCUCAAAUCCCUAAAAAUUCGAAAUCGAAAUUUACCCAGAGAAGCGCCAUGACCUAAAAUCUCAAAAUCACCAAAAACUUCCCCAACAAAAAUGGCGCUUUUACUCUACCCAUUUCCUCUUACCUUCCUUCUACAUUACCCCUUUCCUCAAAUCUCUCUUUCCCAUUGAAAAAACCCAUGUCGGAGAAUCAGAACUGCGGGAGGAUGACGAGAGCGGCGGCGAAACGAAAAGCGUCGUCUAUGGCGGUGGACGAAAACCCAGUUAGUAAAAAGAGAGUUGUGCUCGGAGAGCUUCCGAAUAUGUCCAAUGUCGUAGCUGUUCCGGUGAAACCCAAUCAAGAAAGAGAGGCCCUUAAGGCUAAAACAAGUGUUAAUACCUCGAAGAAGCAGAUGAAGAAGGCUUUGAUGAUUCCUGUGGCGGUUCCUGAACCUAGCGUAGAUAUUGAAUCGAGAUCUGUUGAUCCUCAGAUGUGUGAGCCUUUUGCUAGUGAUAUUUGUUCUUAUCUUCGUGAAAUGGAGGUA
rnacentral:lncRNA from 1 species